rnacentral:lncRNA from 1 species
UCUCUUCCAAGCGGAGGGGAAUGAUGCAAUUCUAGGAUCUACAUGAGUUCAAGUAGUGAUUGAAGUCGAAGGAAGAGUACAAGGAUGCAUUCUCAAAGCUGUUUUUAUGUUUAAUGCUUAGACGUUUGUGUAAUAAAUUUUCUAGCAUUGUUAGUGGUUAAAUUUGGGUUGGUUUAAGUGUUAAUUGAGUCCCUAGUUAAAUGGAAUAAACUGUCAAGGUCUUGUGACCUUAAGUCCAAC